CACUGCCACUGUCAUUGAACUUUAAACAUGUACGAGGGGGUGUAGCUCACCAUCUGCAAUAUCAGUAAAGACAUCCAGGAGGCCCUGAUGACCAAAGGAGAGAGAUAGAAAGAUUUGCAGCUGAGGGAAUCUUUUGCAUCGUAACUCACCCCUCUUGCAGGCUGAGACAGGCUGGACAGGGUCAGCACAAGCAGCAUCAGCGCAGGACCCAUGACUGCUAAAGACUGUAGCUUCACAGCUGAUCACUGACCACACAUAUCACACCUUUUACAUGUUUAUCUUCUUCCCUCCCCCUCUCCAUUUCUUUCUCCCUCUCUCUCUCUCUCUCUCUCUCUCACACACACACACACACACAGAAUUGACCUCAGAAAAACAAACUCCCCGAGAGGUCACUGGACUUUAGAAAAGUAAACUCACGAUGAUCUCGUCCAAGCCAGCAUAUCUUUCGUUUUCACUCAUUUGCAGAAAACCAGAUAAUAAGACAUGGGUGGCUGUCUACUUUAUUUUACUUUAAUCCAUGACUGGGACACAAUGUGCAGCUCAUUUCACUCUCAGUAGUAGACUUCCAUAUGCAUGGGGCAUCACUACGGUACAUUUGCCUCUUUUUGCUCUUAUCUUUCCCAUGAAUAUAAAUUGGAAUAGGAAUACUAUACAAUACCUACACAUUUUGCUUUAGUAAAGAUGCUCUGGAUGUUACUUGUCAAUAAGGAUUGAUUAUCAUUUGGGUCAAAAGUUCUUCUUUGUUGAUUAAAAUGAUUUGCUUUGGA